rnacentral:rRNA from 2 species
UACGUAGGGUGCGAGCGUUAAUCGGAAUUACUGGGCGUAAAGCGUGCGCAGGCGGUUUUAUAAGCCAGAUGUGAAAGCCCCGGGCUCAACCUGGGAAUGGCAUUUGGGACUGUAAGGCUGGAGUAUGGCAGAGGAGACUAGAAUUCCUGGUGUAGCAGUGAAAUGCGUAGAUAUCAGGAGGAAUACCGAUGGCGAAGGCAGGUCUCUGGGCCAAUACUGACGCUCAUGCACGAAAGCGUGGGGAGCAAACAGG